AAAAGAAGAUGGAAGACACUGGAGCCUUAUCCAGUUUUGUGUUUUUGGAUUACUCACCCGUUUUCGAAGUCUUGCUCGACGAACCUGCACCAGAAGAAUCCUUGGCUCAGAUGUUGCUCUGGCGCUCCCCCUCGAGGUUCCUCUUCCCGGAUUCUACUGGUUCUUUCGAAUCCUCUGGUCCAACCAUCUGCCUCACCGUCAGUCGUGGCUCGUCUUGGAUCCCUCGCCAACAAACCAUCAGUCCGCCCUCUAGCUGCUAACCACCGCCCGUCCUCGAGCACUCGGCCGCAGAGUUUCCCUCACUGUCCCUCCUCAGGUCCACUCGAACUAAAUGUUUCCUCCUGCACUGACAUUCAGACCUCGAUCACAUUGUGUUAUGUCUGUAGCCUGAA